GUGCGUGCGCGCACGCGCGCGUGUGUGUGUGUGUUCACUCCGAUCAAUGAUUCAAUCACCGUUAUUUCUAGAUCUUAAAUAUAUCUUCAUGUGCGCGUUAUUCUCGACUGAUUUGUUUUUGGAUGACAGUGUUAGUUGCAUCGCGUUCAGAAUGCGGGCACCAUCCGAGAGUUCGAAAUUAGAUUGUUGUAAAAUUCCUAUGGAAGAAAAAUUAUCGUCUGCUGGAUGAAGCUGCGAGAUCGAUCUACGAAAUCUGCGAAAUAUGAGGAAAGCACAUUCUCGCAUCGUGUUCCGUGUAUUAAAAUUGAUGUAUGUUAGUCCGCGAAGCUGAAGCGACGAGAGGAGAAAUUAGCGCGUUGCGCGGAAUCAUUUGUUACACGCGCGCGAUAAAAAGUGUGUAUAAUGAAAUGAUUAGGACGCAACAAAAAAUCUUACGAAAAACUGUACAAAUUUCCACAAUUAGGUGAUGUAGUAUUUGUAAAGAUAAAAGGAAAAAAAUUUCAGCGUGAUUUUUAUUAAUAUAUAAAUACGAUUUUAGAGAGAGAUUUUCUCUUGCAUUAGGCGGGACAGAAGAGUCAUGUAAGCUAACAAACGUUCCUCGCAUUUCACCUAAUAGAUAUAUUAAAAUGCGUGUCCCUAAUGUGUCAUCGACGAAGCGAGGAAAUUAAUAAUGAUGAGAAAUAAGCAUAGUAUACGCGUUUACAUGUGUACCAAGUACGCUCGCGAUUAAUAAAAAAUGAAACAAAGAAUAUAUCGUUCGUUUGUAAUCACCGAGUUGGGGGGCGUUGUUUUUUCUACAUAAAGGUUUUACGUAAUACACAUCUCUACAUAUCUGUUUUUAUUCUCUCUAUUUCUCUCUAUCUAUUUCUCUCUCUCUCUCUCUCUCUCAUUAUAGAUGAUAAUAAACUUAUGAAAUGAUUAAGCAUAAAUAUAUUGAACGAAUUACUUAAGGAAAACUGUAUUAUGACGCUGUCUAUCUAUACAUACUGUAUAAAGGCAUCCUGUAACUUCAUUUAUGAUUACUAUUAAAAUAUUACACUUCAA